rnacentral:rRNA from 1 species
UACGGGAGUGGCGAAAGGGUGCGUAACACGUGGGUAAUUUGUCUGAGAGUUCAGGAUAAUUCGCUGAAAGGCGGAGUAAUACUGGGAUGUGGAUAUUGGCUGGGAACGGCUGAUAUCUAAAGCCGGGGACCGCAAGGCCUGGUGCUCUUAGGUAAGCCCGCGACCUAUCAGCUAGUUGGUGAGGUAAGAGCCCACCAAGGCGGAGACGGGUAGCUGGUCUGAGAGGACGACCAGCCACACUGGAACUGAGACACGGUCCAGACACCUACGGGUGGCAGCAGUCGAGAAUUUUUCUCAAUGGGGGAAACCCUGAAGGAGCGACGCCGCGUGGGGAUGAAAGGGCUUCGGCUCGUAAACCCCUGUCAUUUGUGAGCAAGUGUUAUUGUUUAAGAGAUGAUGACAUUGAUAGUAGCAAAAGAGGAAGGGACGGCUAACUCUGUGCCAGCCGCGGC